AACUUUUUAUGCAUUUGUUGCUUAGGGGAAUUUAUUGUAAUAAAGUGAGGCCUUUGGGCCUGGCUGGGUGAUACAGUACAAUCUGGCCACAAGGACAUGAAAUGUUCGUGAAAAAGCCAGAACUCAUGUCCAAGUAGAUAUUUUUGAAGUCAUUCAGAUGGCAGUAUGUUUUUCUCCCAACAUUUAGAAAAUCGAUUUAGAGAUCUUGGUCAAAACUGUUUCAUUUUAAUAGCUCAAACUAAAAUUUCCAUUAAAUUUUUUUUUACCUACUUUGAUUACUUGUUCACUAGAGUUGGCUCCAAAUGAUUUGUUCCUGUUUCAAAGUAUCAGACCCACCCACAAAGAGGAAGAUGUGCUACCACUAAGGAUAUUGUCAAAGUUAACAGCUUCUGAAGAGGAUUCUUGGGGCAAGCGGAAAAGGAAGGCUUUCUGGAGUUAAAAGAAAUGCAGUUUACUGACUAAACCCCCCUCUGCAACAGAAUAAAGAACCUUCCCUCUUAUCUGGGUUCAGGACUGUCACGCAACCCCGCUGUGGGCACUUCAUAAAUAUUCAUUGAUGAUGAAAAUGUCGACAGUGCCAAGAAACCAUUUUGUCAUUUCAAGAACACUAUUGAGCUGUCAGUGACCGAAGCAGGAUCCUGACUGUCCUUUGCGAAUCUUGAACAGGAGAGGCCCAGUUCAGCUGGUCACGUGGAAUGAAGCAGAACAAGGACACGGGAUUAAUCUCUCCUGGAGUCUGGGGUUGUGACUGUGCUUACAAAGACAGAGCUAACUGAAGCAACGGGUGGGAUUUUAUAACAACCAACAACCAUUCAAGCACUUGAGAUUCAGCAACUUUGCCUUGUUGGAAAAAACCCACCUCAUUUCACUUUGCACUGGCUGUGAAGCCCUGUGCCUAUAAACAGAAGGAGUUAAAGUGUGAGCGGGGAGUGUCAGGCCACUCCAGUCAGCCUUAACUAUCCCGUGACAUGUCAGUUGAGCUGAGGGACAUUCAGAGAGAACAUGCUGAAACCAGUGCUCUGG